UACGGGGGGGGCAAGCGUUGUUCGGAAUUACUGGGCGUAAAGGGCGCGUAGGCGGCCUGCUAAGUCGGACGUGAAAUCCCUCGGCUCAACCGAGGAACUGCGUCCGAUACUGGUGGGCUUGAAUCCGGGAGAGGGAUGUGGAAUUCCAGGUGUAGCGGUGAAAUGCGUAGAUAUCUGGAGGAACACCGGUGGCGAAAGCGGCUCUCUGGAACGGUACUGACGCUGAGGUGCGAAAGCGUGGGGAGCGAACCGG
rnacentral:rRNA from 1 species